CAUUUUUAAUUGUGGCAGAGUUGGUCCUCCAUAGUGAUGACGAAUCCAACCAACGCCAACGCUCACAUUUCAACUUAGAGAGACACUCCCACCUGCAACUCCUCAUGUCUGUGUAAUAAUCUGAGACUCAGUCAGUUUACAUCUAACAUGGAUAUUAUGGUUAGGAACCAAGACCUCCUCGUACUGUCAGUCUUCUUACUUUGGAGCUCAGGUCUAACUGAUGGGAGUGAUGUCACCCAGACCCCCAUACUGUGGAAAUAUAAGGGUGAUAAUGCAACCAUAGACUGCAGACACACCAAAGGUGCUGGCUACUUCCAGAUGUACUGGUACAGACAGCUGCCAGGAGAACUCAUGAAACAAGUAGUAUUCACUACAGCAAGCAGCCAACCUGACUUUGAAGCAGAAUUCAAGGGUCACAAAUUCUCAGUCACCAAACCCGAUGCUCACAGUGGAACAUUCACCGUGAUGGAUCUGGUCCCAGGAGAUAAAGGCUUGUAUUUCUGUGCAGUCAGUCAACACAGUGAUACAAACGCAUGUGAGAGCUGA